rnacentral:lncRNA from 1 species
CUCACCUGCGCAGAUUUAUCGAUCCCUCACCCCAAUCGCAGUAGCGAUCGCAGCAGAGAUGGCAGCUCUCGCAGCUACUUCCGCGGCUUCCAUCGCUCUCGCUAUCCCUCAGGCCUCGUCCGGGGCUUCCACUUCUAGGAGCGUCAACCUCCGCCUCUCUGGUAUCCAGGUAUGGGUCUGGCUGUGAGAUCAUCGGCUGCGAGGGUGUACUGCAGCUGGAUUCAUGUUUCAAGAGGGUUUAUAUGUUUUUAAGGUGUGUGUAUACUGGCUGUGUGGGAUCACGGGGAUUGUUGCUGCUGGAUUGUUUGUGAAUCUGGGUGGUGCAUUUCGAUGAUGGGAUUCAUGCUAUGGGUGGAACAGGGUCAGAAGCUCGCCGCUGUAUGCAAUGGCUCCCGCGUCGUGGCCAAGGCUGCAGGAGCUGCCCCCGACGCCACUGCUGAGGCGCCCAAGGGUUUCACCCCCCCGACCUUGAACGCUGAUACCCCUGCCCCCAUUUUUGGUGGUAGCACUGGGGGCCUUCUUCGCAAGGCUCAGGUCGAGGAGUUCUAUGUCAUCACCUGGGAAUCACCGAAGGAGCAGAUUUUCGAGAUGCCCACCGGUCAGUUAGCGCAUCCCUAUUAUUCUUGAGAGUCACAUAUUUUUCUAUGUAACACAUGCAGCCUUCAGUAGUUAAAUUACGGGAUAGGCCCUACAGGGAACAUUAUGUAAAUAUGGCAAGGUGUCGUAUGGGUGACGACUUAUUCAUUGGGCAGUUCAUUCAGAAUGAGGCAAUCGAUUCCUCUGGUGCAUUGAGGGAAUAGAGUAUUCGUUAAGAGCAGUGUCAUAGGGUAGUACAUUUGCGAGAACUGCAGUGAUGCUGGGAAAUGGACACUGUUGCACUCGUAGUUCCAGCUACUGACACUUACUCCGCGCAGGUGGGGCUGCCAUAAUGAGGUCCGGACCCAACCUGUUAAAACUGGCCAGGAAGGAGCAAUGCCUUGCGUUGGGCGCUAGGUUGAGGACCAAGUUCAAAAUCCAGUACCAGUUCUAUCGUGUCUUCCCCAAUGGCGAGGUGCAGUACCUCCACCCCAAGGACGGAGUCUACCCAGAGAAGGUGAACGCUGGAAGAACAGCUGUGGGAGUCAACAACAGGAGCAUUGGGCAGAACGCCAACCCCGCCGAGCUUAAGUUCGCCCACAAACAAGCCUAUGAUUUGUAGACAUUACAUCUAUUUGUAUAUCAUGAUGAAGUGUGUGUUGUAAGCCAAAAUUCCCUGCUUUUAUCUAAAAGCAUCGCAAUGCGUUGAUGAUAGAUGUUGUGUG